rnacentral:rRNA from 1 species
GGGCCCGCACAAGCGGUGGAGCAUGUGGUUCAAUUCGAAGCAACGCGCAGAACCUUACCAGCCUUUGACAUCCCGGUCGCGAGCACCAGAGAUGGAGCUCUUCAGUUCGGCUGGACCGGAGACAGGUGCUGCAUGGCUGUCGUCAGCUCGUGUCGUGAGAUGUUGGGUUAAGUCCCGCAACGAGCGCAACCCUCGCCCUUAGUUGCCAUCAUUUAGUUGGGCACUCUAAGGGGACUGCCGGUGAUAAGCCGGAGGAAGGUGGGGAUGACGUCAAGUCCUCAUGGCCCUUACAGGCUGGGCUACACACGUGCUACAAUGGCGGUGACAGAGGGAUGCAAAGGAGCAAUCCUCAGCAAAUCUCAAAAAGCCGUCUCAGUUCGGAUUGUGCUCUGCAACUCGAGCACAUGAAGUUGGAAUCGCUAGUAAUCGCAGAUCAGCACGCUGCGGUGAAUACGUUCCCGGGCCUU